rnacentral:rRNA from 1 species
UACGUAGGGCGCAAGCGUUGUCCGGAAUUAUUGGGCGUAAAGAGCUCGUAGGCGGUUUGUCGCGUCUGCUGUGAAAACUCGGGGCUUAACUCCGGGCCUGCAGUGGGUACGGGCAGACUAGAGUGCGGUAGGGGAGAUCGGAAUUCCUGGUGUAGCGGUGAAAUGCGCAGAUAUCAGGAGGAACACCGGUGGCGAAGGCGGAUCUCUGGGCCAUUACUGACGCUGAGGAGCGAAAGCGUGGGGAGCGAACAGG